UACGGGGGGGGCAAGCGUUGUUCGGAAUUACUGGGCGUAAAGGGCUCGUAGGCGGCCAACUAAGUCAGACGUGAAAUCCCUCGGCUUAACCGGGGAACUGCGUCUGAUACUGGAUGGCUUGAGUGUGGGAGAGGGAUGCGGAAUUCCAGGUGUAGCGGUGAAAUGCGUAGAUAUCUGGAGGAACACCGGUGGCGAAGGCGGCAUCCUGGGACCACAGACUGACGCUGAGUGAGCGAAAGCCAGGGGAGCAAACGGG
rnacentral:rRNA from 1 species